UGUGUGUCUGUGUCUGUGUGUGUGUCUGUGUGUAUUUGUGUAUGUGUGUAUGUGUCUGUGUGUGUGUGUCUGUGUGUAUGUGUGUAUGUGUCUGUGUGUGUGUCUGUGUGUGUGUGUCUGUGUCUGUGUGUGUGUCUGUGUGUAUUUGUGUAUGUGUGUAUGUGUCUGUGUGUGUGUGUCUGUGUGUAUGUGUGUAUGUGUCUGUGUGUGUGUCUGUGUGUGUCUGUGUCUGUGUGUGUGUCUGUGUGUAUUUGUGUAUGUGUGUAUGUGUCUGUGUGUGUGUGUCUGUGUGUAUGUGUGUAUGUGUGUGUGUCUCUGUGUGUGUGUCUGUGUGUGUGUCUGUGUGUGUGUGUGUCUGUGUGUGUGUCUGUGUCUUGGCUUUCGUAGGCGCUGCUGCUGCUGCUGUUGUGGCUCACCACUCACAGCACUUGCCCCGGCAGUCUGCUGAAGGCUACACGGGGGAUCUUUGCCUUGUCUUGCGUGUCCAUUGUACAGUGCGUCUGUGUGUGUGUAAGUGUGGGUGCAUACAGUGCGUGUGUCACUGUGUAUGUCUGUGUGAGUGUGUCUGUGGGUGUAUGUGACUGUGUGACUGUGUGAGUGUGUGGGUGUGAGUGUGUGAAUGUGUCUGUGUAUGUAUGUGACUGUGUGUGUCUGUGUGAGUGUGUCUGUGUGUGUAUGUGACUGUGUGUGUGUGACUGUGUGAGUGUGUGUGAAUGUGUCUGUAUGUGACUGUGUGUGUGUGACUGUGUGAGUGUGACUGUGUGAGUGUGUGUGAAUGUGUCUGUGUGUGUAUGUGACUGUGUGUGUGUGACUGUGAGUGUGACUGUGUGAGUGUGUGUGAAUGUGUCUGUGUGUGUAUGUGACUGUGUGUGUGACUGUGUGUAUGUGACUGUGUGUGUGACUGUGUGUAUGUGACUGUGUGUGUGUAUCUGUGUGUGUGAGUGUGUGUGUGUGUGACUGUGUGAGUGUGUGUGUGUGAAUGUGUCUGUGUGUGUAUGUGACUGUGUGUGUGUGUCUGUGUGAGUGUGUCUGUGUGUGUAUGUGUACAGUGCGUGUGUCACUGUGUGUCUGUGUGAUUGUGUCUGUGUGAGUGUGUCUGUGUGUGUGUGUCUGUGUGUCUGUGAGUGCGUGUGGCUGUGAGUGUGUGUGCUUGUGUAAGUGUGUGUCUGUGUGUCUGUGUGUGUGUCUGUGUGUGUAUGUGUACAGUGCGUGUGUCACUGUGUGUCUGUGUGUGUGUGUCUGUGUGAUUGUGUCUGUGUGAGUGUGUCUGUGUGUGUGUGUCUGUGUGUCUGUGAGUGCGUGUGGCUGUGAGUGUGUGAGUGUGUCUGUGAGUGUGUGUGCUUGUGUAAGUGUGUGUCUGUGUGUCUGUGUGUGUGUCUGUGUGUGUGUCUGUGUCUGUAUAUGUGAGUGUGUCUGUGUGUGUGUCUGUGCGAGUGUGUAUGUAUGUGUGUGUGAGUGUGUGUGAGUGUGUCUGUGUGUGUGUCUGUGUGCGUGUGUGUGUAUGUGUCUGUGUGAGUGUGUCUGUGCGAAUUUCUCUGUGUGUAUGUGACUGUGUGAGUGUGUCUGUUUGAGUGUGUCUGUGUCCGUGUCUGUGUGCGUGUGUCUGUCUGUGUGUCUAUGUGGUGUGUCUGUGUGAGUGUGUGUUUCUGUGUGUGUCUGUGUGUGUGAGUGUGUCUGUGUGUGUUUCUGUACGUGUGAGUGCGUGUGUCUGUGUGCGUGUCUGCGUGUGUGUCUGUGUGUCUGUCUGUGUGUGUCUAUCUGUGUAUGUGUCUAUGUGGUGUGUCUGUGUGAGUGUGUCUGUGUGAAUGUGCGUGUGCGCGUGUCUGUGUGCGCGUAUCUGUGUGCGUGUGUCUUUGUGCGUGUCUGCGUGUGUGUCUGUGUGUCUGUCUGUGUGUGUCUAUCUGUGUAUGUGUCUAUGUGGUGUGUCUGUGUGAGUGUGUCUGUGUGAAUGUGCGUGUGCGCGUGUCUGUGUGCGCGUGUCUGUGUGCGUGUGUCUUUGUGCGUGUCUGCGUGUGUGUCGGUGUGUCUGUCUGUGUGUGUCUAUCUAUGUGUGUGUCUGUGGUGUGUCUGUGUGAGUGUGUCUGUGUGAGUGUGUGUCUGUGUGAAUGUGCGUGUGUGCGUGUCUGUGUGCGUGUCUGUGAGCGUGUCUGCGUGUGUGUCUCUGUGUGUCUGUCUGUGUGUCUAUGUGGUGUGUCUGUGUGUGUGUGUGUCUGUGUGAAUGUGUGUGUCUGUGUGUGUGCGUGUCUGUGUGCGUGUCUGCGUGUGUGUCUGCGUGUCUGUCUGUGUGUCUGUCUGUGUGUGUCUAUCUGUGUGUGUGUGUCUAUGUGGUGUGUCUGUGUGAGUGUGUGUCUGUGUGAAUGUGUGUGUCUGUGUGUGUGCGUGUCUGCGUGUCUGUCUGUGUAUUUGUCUGUGUGUGUCUAUCUGUGUGUGUCUGUGUGUGUGUCUAUAUGGUGUGUCUGUGUGAGUGUGUGAGUGUGUGAAUGUGUGUGUGUGUGUCUGUGUGUGUGUCUGUAUGUGUGUCUAUGUGGUGUGUCUGUGUGAGUGUCUGUGUGAAUGUGUGUGUGUCUGUGUGUGUCUGUGUGUCUGUGUCUGUGUGUGUGUCUUUCCGACAGACCUGUUCUUCACCUGAGGACGGCUGCUUGCGUUGUGGCCGAAACGUCGUGAGAAUUGUAUUUUAUUAUGUUUUAUUUUUAUUAUUUUAUUACUUCCCUUCUACGUGACUUUUACCGAAACAACCAAGAAGAUCAAUCCCCGCAGUCACGAAAGCUCGAAAUCUAGAAAGCACUUGCCCCCGUUCGUCCUCCGAGGCUACGCGGGGGACCUUUGUCUUUGUGUGUCUCUCUGCGUGUGUCUCAGUGGGGACGGUCCCGAGGAACAUUCGCUGACCGCGGGGGUGGAGCCCACGACUCUGCAUGUCGCCUGGACCUCACGUCUGUCCAACCGCUGACGCCCCCCUAGGAUGUCCGGUUAUGUUGAGGUCCAGGACAAAGCGCCAACCCCUCCGGUCAGAAUGAACUCGGCGUUGCUCAACUCGGCGUCGGUGGGGUGCAGCGGCGGGCCCCGGGAGCGCGAGGCCGGCUCGGCAAAGCCCCUUCCCUCCGCGCCGGAGGAGAAGAACCGCAAGGCCAGGCUCAUGUCCAUCUUCCAGGACAAGA